AAAGCAGGGGCCGGGGAGCCAGCAGUGGUCCAGACAUGCGCCUGCUCAGACCACAGACCGGUACCUGAGGUGACCCUUGUUGGAUUUGUAGCUCCAAGUGAGACUACGGUCCCUGGAGGCUCCAAGUGCGGUCAGGUUCCUGGACGCUUCUGCCUCUCCCGGAUGACAAAACCAACUGGAGUUGAAUGGGCUAGAUUCCCUAGAAUCACGGCAGCUCAGGCAGGAUACCCUCUCCCAAGUGACAGCUUGUACUUUUCUGAAACAAAGGUCCCUGAAGAUCGCUCUGAUGGUCUUCUUGUAACAGAUGGGAGCAGCUCCCCAUUGUCAUGUUCCAGCACUUACUUCUUACUGGCGCCUGAGACUAGAGGAGGACUGCGUACAGGAAUGGGGCGUGUGUCAAGUCUGUCAGGAGAGGAGCUGUCGAAAAGCCCGUGCACUGUUUUGCAGGAAACAGCCAGGCUCUGGCAAGGCUGCAGCGGAAAUGGAGUCUAGAAUUGUCCCUGGAUUUGUUGUUCUUUUCUCCUGGAAUCCUUGCAGGCUGCAUCCUAGCAAUUGCAAAAGUGGGUGUUCAUGGGUUGGGGUACCAGGACUUUCUGGCAAGCACCCUUUAGAAGCAAGACCGAAAGGACAUGUUUGAGGUCCUUCUGUGCUAAGACUGCCUGCCAUUGAAGUACUGACUCCAACCCCCUCCAGGCUACUGUUUGCAGCCCAGCUCAGUACUCAAGUCAGGAGCAAUGCCAUAUCUGGGAGUAUGCUGUCAUAAAGACUUCUAUACAAACCAGAAAGGAAAAGAUACUGGGACCUCAAUUUUGGAAAAUCAAGAAGAUGACCUGAGUUUGCUCUCUGAAACCUCAGUUGUAUGGUGGUCAGACUUGCCCAAUGGGAAUCUGACAGAAUCUGGCUUCAAUCUAGUCAUUUGCUAAUUCCCCAGUGGGAAGUUUCUCUUCUGCUGACUGGAUUGACUUUAGGACUGUUUGGCUUGUAGAAUUUGUCUUCUGGGGUCUGCUAAUAGAGGUCUAUUCUUGGCAGAGUUUCUUUUCCAAGCAGCUGUUUUGAAGAAAGCUGACAUCACCCUCGGCCCUGAGAUUUGAGACUGACUAUGUUGCAUCUCCUCAUCUGCCUGGAUUACUCAGUUCACUUGGCUCUGCUGGCCUCCUUCAGAGAGAUGCACACACACACACACACACACACACAUCUGGCUGGGAGGCCACCAUGAAUUCAUUAAACGCAGAUGAAAAUGUGAAUUCUUAGCAUGAAAUUUGUGGUCCCCAAACCCCUUUUCUCUGUCAGAAAUGAAAGUUACCAUGUCAUGGGCCCUGGAGAGAAGCCAGCUGAACUACAGGACAGGUCGCAGGUGCUGGCCUCUCACUGCUGUGUGUGAGACAUCUAGAACAGCCUGGCGUGGAGUAGACACUGCACACAAUGGCUACAAGUUGCAAACCAGCACUGACCUGAGAAAUGGCAGUUUCCUGCCCUAGUCUCUUCUCUCUGCCUAUCUUCAUUCAUGUGACAAUGCUGAAGAAAGAAUUCAGGAGCCAUCAAACCCUCUCUUUACCACCGUCUCACCACCAGGUAUGGAGGGUGCUGGGGACAUAUGUUUUUCACUCAGAGGGGCCUGGCCCCUGGAGUGACACCUUACACAGGUGGAACACAUUUUUCAUGCCAGUUAGUGUCAAAUAGAUAUCUCCCUAAGCUUCAGCCUUGUCACUGUAGGAAGCCGUUUAAUACUGGACUCCUCUCCCCGCCCCCUUUUUUAUUUUGUAUGUAUAUGGGUGUUUGCCUGCAUGUGUAUCUGUGCACUAUGUGUGUGUGUGUGUGCAGUGCCUACAGAAGCCAGAAGAGGGCAUCAGAUCCCCUAGGACUGAAGCUAUUGAAAGUUGUGAGUUGCCGUGUGGGUGUUGGGAAUUGAACAUGGGUUCUCUAGGUGAGCAGCCAGUGUUCUUAACUGCUGACAUUUCUCCAGCCCUACCUU
ensembl:lincRNA Gm10629 predicted gene 10629